UACGAAGGGGGCUAGCGUUGCUCGGAAUUACUGGGCGUAAAGGGUGCGUAGGUGGUUUGUUAAGUCUGCUGUGAAAUCCCCGGGCUCAACCUGGGAAUGGCAGUGGAUACUGGCAAGCUAGAGUGCGGUAGAGGGUAGUGGAAUUCCCGGUGUAGCAGUGAAAUGUGUAGAGAUCGGGAGGAACACCAGUGGCGAAGGCGGCUACCUGGACCAGCACUGACACUGAAGCACGAAAGCGUGGGGAGCAAACAGG
rnacentral:rRNA from 1 species